rnacentral:rRNA from 1 species
GUCUACGGCCAUGCUACCCUGAACAAGCCCAAUCUUGUCUGAUCUCAGAAGCUAAGCAGGGUCGGGCCUGGUUAGUACUCGGAUGGGAGACCACCUAGGAAGACCAGGCGCUGUAGGCG